GGGAAAGUGUUUCUAAUUUGGGAUGGUGAGUAGGAAGGCUGGAGCAGUUCCCACCAUCAUUGGAGUCUCGCCUAUUUUUACUGAAAUGAUACUAACAAAUUAGUUAUGCUAAUUUUAUCUCAUUUGCUAUAAGAAACCUGUGAAAUUGUUGCCCAUGAUGGUAUCAUCAUCCUUCUCUUCCAGUUGAAUAAACCAGCUCAUUCAAAGUGACCUAACAGAUUCAUCCAAGGUCAUAUCAGUGAACAGUAGAGCUCAGGACUCACAACUCCUGACUCCAGUCCUAAUGGCUUUCCCAUCUGCUUGCCUCCUCUUCCUACUAAUGACUGAGACCUGCUUCUGUCCGUGUUAACAGUUAUUCCUCCCAUAUCCGUGGAGCAACCCUCAUCUGACUCUCAGCAGGCAAAUCCAGAAGGCCCCUGUCCAACAAAUGGGGAAGCUGUUGGACCUCCAGGUGAGCGUAUUAGAAUAGAGCUGGUGUGUGUGUGUGUGUGUGUGUGUGUGUGUACGUGUGUGUUGCAGGGAGAAGGGGCAUCUUAUACAAACAGAGCUGGAAUCGUCUUUUAUUUUUUCACUAUGCUAUAAUCACAGGAUACAUGUUCACCUGUUAUAAUGUCCAUGUUUAGUGACCUUUUCAAAUUGUAAUUUCACUGUUUCUUAACGAAAUUUCUGACUGGAGAAAGGCCUGUUGUAGCAAAUUAGAUGGAAUGCAAAGUAACCAAAAAAAAAAAAAAAAAAGGAAUGCAAAGUAACCGGAUUAAAAAUA
rnacentral:lncRNA from 12 species